rnacentral:rRNA from 1 species
AUGAACGCUGGCGGCGUGCCUAAUACAUGCAAGUCGAGCGAACAGACGAGGAGCUUGCUCCUCUGACGUUAGCGGCGGACGGGUGAGUAACACGUGGAUAACCUACCUAUAAGACUGGGAUAACUUCGGGAAACCGGAGCUAAUACCGGAUAAUAUAUUGAACCGCAUGGUUCCAUAGUGAAAGACGGUUUUGCUGUCACUUAUAGAUGGAUCCGCGCCGCAUUAGCUAGUUGGUAAGGUAACGGCUUACCAAGGCAACGAUGCGUAGCCGACCUGAGAGGGUGAUCGGCCACACUGGAACUGAGACACGGUCCAGACUCCUACGGGAGGCAGCAGUAGGGAAUCUUACGCAAUGGGCGAAAGCCUGACGGAGCAACGCCGCGUGAGUGAUGAAGGUCUUCGGAUCGUAAAACUCUGUUAUUAGGGAAGAACAAAUGUGUAAGUAACUAUGCACGUCUUGACGGUACCUAAUCAGAAAGCCACGGCUAACUACGUG